rnacentral:rRNA from 1 species
UCCCAGACUCCUACGGGAGGCAGCAGUAGGGAAUUUUCGUCAAUGGGCGCAAGCCUGAACGAGCGAUGCCGCGUGAGUGAAGAAGGCCUUCGGGUCGUAAAGCUCUGUUGCGGGGGAAAAAAGGCAGCAUCAGGAAAUGGGUGCUGACUGAUGGUGCCCCGCCAGAAAGUCACGGCUAACUACGUGCCAGCAGCCGCGGUAAUACGUAGGUGGCGAGCGCUAUCCGGAAUGAUUGGGCGUAAAGGGUGCGUGGGGGGCCCGGAAAGACAGGGGUAAAGCCCCGGGGCGCAACCCCGGCGAGCCGUUGAAACUGUCGGACUAGAGACGGCGAGAAGUACGCGGAAUGCGCGGUGUAGCGGUGAAAUGCAUAGAUAUCGCGCAGAACUCCGAUUGCGAAGGCAGCGUACCGGCGCCGGACUGACGCUGAGGCACGAAAGCGUGGGUAUCGAACAGGAUUAGAUACCCGUGUA